rnacentral:rRNA from 1 species
CACGUAGGGGGCGAGCGUUGUCCGGAUUUAUUGGGCGUAAAGAGCUCGUAGGCGGCUCGGUAAGUCGGGUGUGAAAACUCGGGGCUCAACCCCGAGACGCCACUCGAUACUGCCAUGGCUAGAGUCCGGUAGGGGAGCGUGGAAUUCCUGGUGUAGCGGUGAAAUGCGCAGAUAUCAGGAAGAACACCCGUGGCGAAAGCGGCUCUCUGGAACGGUACUGACGCUGAGACGCGAAAGCGUGGGGAGCGAACAGG